rnacentral:rRNA from 1 species
UACCUAAAAUAAGGUAGUGCGAUACAAACUCGCGCAGAAUUAGGCUGUUGGGUGGGUGACCCCUUAUAGAGCUGCCCAAACCUUAUUCUUAGCCUGACUUAACGGUUUCAGGCCACGAAGGCACUGAAAAGGGGCCUUAGUACACCAUGUACUCAGCAGUAGUGAAUUUUGGGCAAUCGCUUGAGGGGCGGACCCAGACCUUGUACACAAA